AUUGAACGCUGGCGGAAUGCUUUACACAUGCAAGUCGAACGAUGAAGCCUAGCUUGCUAGGUCGAUUAGUGGCGAACGGGUGAGUAAUAUAUCGGAACGUAUCCAAUAAUGGGGGAUAACUAGUCGAAAGAUUGGCUAAUACCGCAUACGUCCUACGGGAGAAAGCUGGGGAUCGUAAGACCUGGCGUUAAUGGAGCGGCCGAUAUCUGAUUAGCUAGUUGGUGAGGUAAAGGCUCACCAAGGCGACGAUCAGUAGCUGGUCUGAGAGGACGACCAGCCACACUGGAACUGAGACACGGUCCAGACUACUACGGGAGGCAGCAGUGGGGAAUUUUAGACAAUGGGCGAAAGCCUGAUCCAGCCAUUCCGCGUGAGUGAAGAAGGCCUUCGGGUUGUAAAGCUCUUUCGCAAGGGAAGAACACUUACUUAAUAACACUAAGUGAGGUUGACGGUACCUUGAUAAGAAGCACCGGCUAACUACGUGCCAGCCGCCGCAGUAAAAC
rnacentral:rRNA from 1 species